CACAUACAUAUAUACACAUAAAAAGCUUAAGGUUGGCAGAUGUACUGAUAAGACGGAUGACACACCAGCACACAUGGCUAUUGGUUGUCAUGCUGGAUUGUUCGUUGUAGUUUAUCUUGCAUCACUUAUAACACAUACACAUUUACACGCUGUACAACUAUAUACAAUAAUAGCAGAAGAUAGUGCCAUGGACAGUAUGAGUAAGACAGUCAGUGAUACAGAUUCACCUCAAAUGCAAAGUAUCCUGAAGCCUAUGCAGAUCAUUACACAGGGUUGCAUUAACGUUCUGUGCACUGAAUCUUGCUUGUGUUCUUCUGUUUUUGGAAAUUGAAAUUCCCAAAGCAGCUUCUUAUAUCCAAUAUUUAAGUAUAUAUAUAUAUAUAUAUAUAAAAGCCAUGGAUUGUAUCAUUCUGAGUAACACGUAUCUGACUCAUGCAUGGCAUUUUCUGCAACAUAAUGCUUAUAAAAAUUCACUCAGCAUUUAAAACAUAUCCUUAAAAGCUACAUUCAAGAGCAACAGAUAAAAUGUUUUUUUUUCUUUUGUGUAUGCUUACACUGAUAAUUCAGUAUACAAUUACAUAUCUCUCUGCAAUCAGUAUUUCUCCAUAAAUAAUUUAAUAAAUAUAUAAUCCUAUGUUUUGAGAGUUUUCUACAAUGAUACUAUUAUAUCUGUGUCAUUAGUAACAACUUAAUGUUUAGACGCUGUUUAAUAUAAUAAUAGCAGGCUCCUAUAUUCACACUAUAAAUUGUUGGGUUUUUUUCUUUGCAAGAAAAUAAAAUGACCAAAUACCAUCUUUGCAAAAUGCUUACAUUUUAG